rnacentral:tRNA from 1 species
AAGGCCUUAGCUUAAUUAAAGUGUCUGUUUUGCAUGCAGGAGAUGUAGGUUAAAAGCCUGCAGGUUUUA